ACGCAUCAUGCCACAGGUCACCGGCGUAUUUUAUAUCCGGCGUCUUUGAAAUAUUCAUGUUGGCACAGUCCGUGGAUUCAGCCACAUUCGAGUGUUGGCUCGCGACUGCAGCCAACUGCAGUGGACACGGUGACGGGCGCAGCAAGCAUGACGUGUGGGAGCUACUGUACGCGCAUGUCUCAUUGCUGACGCAACGCGGAACAAAGAAAGAACCCUAAGC
rnacentral:lncRNA from 1 species